rnacentral:misc_RNA from 1 species
CCCCGGCACAGGUCAGCAGCACGAUGGGCCUCGCCGGCGCCCCAUCUCCAGAGGGGGCAUCCUCGGGAGCCGAGGCUUCAGCCUCGCCGGCUGCGGCGGCGGUGCUGACCUCGGCCGCGGCCGGGCGGCGGGCGGCAAGCACAGACUCGAGGUUGGAGACGAGCGCGGACGGGAGCGGGUUGCGCUUCGGAGCGUCUUCGCCGGAAGUCGACUCCAUCGGCCUCGUCCCCGGAGAGGUUAUUUGCCGCCUCGCGUCGUCAGGGAUGGCUGGGCAGAAGAGGCGAAGAGGGCAGGAGAGAGGGAGAGAGAGAGGGAUGUACGGAGGGAGGAAGGAAGGAAGCGCCGGUGUU